rnacentral:rRNA from 1 species
GUAGGUGGCAAGCGUUGUCCGGAAUUAUUGGGCGUAAAGCGCGCGCAGGUGGUUCUUUAAGUCUGAUGUGAAAGCCCCCGGCUCAACCGGGGAGGGUCAUUGGAAACUGGGGAACUUGAGUGCAGGAGAGGAAAGUGGAAUUCCACGUGUAGCGGUGAGAUGCGUAGAUAUGUGGGGGAACACCAGUGGCGAAGGCGACUUUCUGGCCUGUAACUGACACUGAGGCGCGAAAGCGUGGGGAGCAAACAGGGAUUAGAUACCCUGGUAGUCCACGCCGUAAACGAUGAGUGCUAAGUGUUGGGGGGGUUUCCCGCCCCUCAGUGCUGCAGCUAACGCAUUAAGCACUCCGCCUGGGGAUACGGUCGCAAGACCG